rnacentral:rRNA from 1 species
UACGUAGGGUGCGAGCGUUGUCCGGAAUUAUUGGGCGUAAAGAGCUCGUAGGCGGUGUGUCACGUCGGCCGUGAAAACCUGGGGCUUAACUCUGGGCGUGCGGUCGAUACGGGCAUCACUAGAGUUCGGCAGGGGAGACUGGAAUUCCUGGUGUAGCGGUGAAAUGCGUAGAGAUUGGAAAGAACACCGAUGGCGAAGGCACUUUACUGGGCUAUUACUAACACUCAGAGACGAAAGCUAGGGUAGCAAAUGGG